UACGUAGGUGGCAAGCGUUAUCCGGAAUUACUGGGCGUAAAGCGCACGCAGGCGGUCUUUUAAGUUUGACGUGAAAGCUCCCGGCUUAACUGGGAGAGGUCGUUGAAGACUGGGAGACUUGAGGCAAUGAGAGGGGUGUAGAAUUCCUGGUGUAGUGGUGGAAUGCGUAGAUAUCAGGAGGAAUACCAGUGGUGAAAGCGGCACCCUAGCGUUGUUCUGACGCUCAUGUGCGAAAGCGUGGGGAGCGAACGGG
rnacentral:rRNA from 1 species